CUCGUCGCUUCAGUCGUCCCGCGGCCGCUAAUACUACAGCCGGCGACCGACCGGAGCGAUCGCGGGCGCUCGUGUGUGCUUGUGCGUGUGUCCCGUAGUCGUACGUCCGUUUCGUUCCGCGAUAAUUGCAUAGUAUGUUUUGUACACACGCGCGUGCGACACGCGGCAGAUGAUAAUAAUAGCAAUAAUAAUAAUAAUAUCACGAAAUAUUAUAUAAUGCAAUCAUAUUACCACGACGCUAUGUCACGUUCACGCAUUACGUUCCAUUAAGAUAUGACGUAAUUAUCAUCACCGGGCGAAAAUCAACAACAUCAUAAUAUUAUUGUUAUUAUAAUAUUAUAAUAUUGUUUUACGGUCGCGCGCACGCUACCAUAUAAUUUUAUAACAUCAUAUAUUAUACGAUAUACGGCUGUCGUAUGCGACGCGGUCCGACCGCUGCAGCACGCGUCGUAUUACCACCAUCAUCAUGUCCGGUGGUAACCGCGCCGGAGAGUCUCGUCGGUCCGGUGAACGGAGGUAAUAUCGUCGUCCGGUAACCGCCGCCGCCGCCGUCGCCACCGGUCGCCAUCGGCCCACACGUCGUCCGCGGUGAUGGCGUAACCGCGACGCCGCUGCAUCGGACUGCGACUGCACGCCGACUUGCAAUAGGUGCUUAUCGAGGGGCCUGUACAUUGAUAUUGGGGACUCUUCACAUGUUAUAUCAACAUAUACCAUACCAUACCAUACCACAAGAACAUUAAAAAAUAUUUAAAAUAUCAUUUUUUGGAUAGCGAAAGCUGGAAGAUAAUCAAAUAAUAAAAA